rfam:Gammaproteobacteria bacterium GWF2_41_13 gwf2_scaffold_17669, whole genome shotgun sequence.
GCCGGAGUGGUGGAAUUUGGUAGACACGCUACCUUGAGGUGGUAGUGGCGCAAGCCGUGUCGGUUCGAGUCCGACCUUCGGUA